ACGGACAAACUUGCAUGUGUCUGUUCGGGAAUGGCAGAUGCUGAGAGGUCCAGCGUUUACAUUACCGACUAUUUCAAAGUGACAGCCUGAGGUGUUCUUCAGUAAAUUGGACUACCAGACAGGAGGACCUGAGGCCCCACCGUAUUAUUUUCGUGACCUCGACCCUCUUCAAGCUCCUCACUGGUCAGUUCGAGUCAGGACGGCUGAAAAUCCUCAGUGUUUACUGGUAUCUGUUUCCAGAUGCUGCUGUGGAGAAGUCUGACUGUAAGAAUAACACUCAGCUGUCCAACUCCAGUGGGACAUCGGAGCAAGAGAAAACCUCUGAUUAUAAGCUUUUCCACCAGCUGAAGUCAGCCCCCAGUGACAGUCUGACCUACCGUCUGGCUCUGUGUGUGUGUCUGGUCAACUAUUACUACGGUGGGCUGCGGGCUGUUGGACACCUCUGGCAGGAGUUUGUCCUU